ACUCUAAGCGGUGGAUCACUCGGCUCAUGGGUCGAUGAAGAACGCAGCAAACUGUGCGUCAUCGUGUGAACUGCAGGACACAUGAACAUCGACAUUUUGAACGCAUAUCGCAGUCCAUGCUGUUAUGUACUUUAAUUAAUUUUAUAGUGCUGCUUGGACUACAUAUGGUUGAGGGUUGUAAGACUAUGCUAAUUAAGUUGCUUAUAAAUUUUUAUAAGCAUAUGGUAUAUUAUUGGAUAAAUAUAAUAAUUUUUAUUCAUAAUAUUAAAAAAUAAAUGAAAAACAUUAUCUCACAUUUGAAUGUGAAAAACGAAGAGAAAUAUUUUCUUUUUCAAUCAAAUAAUACUGAGAAAUGUCUAGCAUAAAAAAUUGAAAUAUUUUUCAUCUAGAAUUGUCUCUUAUUAAUGAUUCGGAAAUAGAAAAAUCUUGGUUAUGUUAUUAUUCUUCGUUGGUUCGUUAAAAAUGGAUAAAUAAAAACUUUGCAUACAAGAAUUAAUAAAAAUGUUAUAACGAAUUUAAUUAAAUGUUUUAUCAUUAUAUAUAAAGAAUUUAUGGCAAGAUAAAGUUAUAUACAACCUCAACUCAUAUGGGACUACCCCCUGAAUUUAAGCAUAUUAAUUAGGGGAGGAAAAGAAACUAACAAGGAUUUUCUUAGUAGCGGCGAGCGAAAAGAAAACAGUUCAGCACUAAGUCACUUUGUCUAUAUGGCAAAUGUGAGAUGCAGUGUAUGGAGCGUCAAUAUUCUAGUAUGAGAAAUUAACGAUUUAAGUCCUUCUUAAAUGAGGCCAUUUACCCAUAGAGGGUGCCAGGCCCGUAUAACGUUAAUGAUUACUAGAUGAUGUUUCCAAAGAGUCGUGUUGCUUGAUAGUGCAGCACUAAGUGGGUGGUAAACUCCAUCUAAAACUAAAUAUAACCAUGAGACCGAUAGUAAACAAGUACCGUGAGGGAAAGUUGAAAAGAACUCUGAAUAGAGAGUUAAACAGUACGUGAAACUGCUUAGAGGUUAAGCCCGAUGAACCUGAAUAUCCGUUAUGGAAAAUUCAUCAUUAAAAUUGUAAUAUUUAAAUAAUAUUAUGAGAAUAGUGUGCAUUUUUUCCAUAUAAGGACAUUGUAAUCUAUUAGCAUAUACCAAAUUUAUCAUAAAAUAUAACUUAUAGUUUAUUCCAAUUAAAUUGCUUGCAUUUUAACACAGAAUAAAUGUUAUUAAUUUGAUAAAGUGCUGAUAGAUUUAUAUGAUUACAGUGCGUUAAUUUUUCGGAAUUAUAUAAUGGCAUAAUUAUCAUUGAUUUUUGUGUUUAUUAUAUGCACUUGUAUGAUUAACAAUGCGAAAGAUUCAGGAUACCUUCGGGACCCGUCUUGAAACACGGACCAAGGAGUCUAACAUAUGUGCAAGUUAUUGGGAUAUAAACCUAAUAGCGUAAUUAACUUGACUAAUAAUGGGAUUAGUUUUUUAGCUAUUUAUAGCUAAUUAACACAAUCCCGGGGCGUUCUAUAUAGUUAUGUAUAAUGUAUAUUUAUAUUAUUUAUGCCUCUAACUGGAACGUACCUUGAGCAUAUAUGCUGUGACCCGAAAGAUGGUGAACUAUACUUGAUCAGGUUGAAGUCAGGGGAAACCCUGAUGGAAGACCGAAACAGUUCUGACGUGCAAAUCGAUUGUCAGAAUUGAGUAUAGGGGCGAAAGACCAAUCGAACCAUCUAGUAGCUGGUUCCUUCCGAAGUUUCCCUCAGGAUAGCUGGUGCAUUUUAAUAUUAUAUAAAAUAAUCUUAUCUGGUAAAGCGAAUGAUUAGAGGCCUUAGGGUCGAAACGAUCUUAACCUAUUCUCAAACUUUAAAUGGGUAAGAACCUUAACUUUCUUGAUAUGAAGUUCAAGGUUAUGAUAUAAUGUGCCCAGUGGGCCACUUUUGGUAAGCAGAACUGGCGCUGUGGGAUGAACCAAACGUAAUGUUACGGUGCCCAAAUUAACAACUCAUGCAGAUACCAUGAAAGGCGUUGGUUGCUUAAAACAGCAGGACGGUGAUCAUGGAAGUCGAAAUCCGCUAAGGAGUGUGUAACAACUCACCUGCCGAAGCAACUAGCCCUUAAAAUGGAUGGCGCUUAAGUUGUAUACCUAUACAUUACCGCUAAAGUAGAUGAUUUAUAUUACUUGUGAUAUAAAUUUUGAAACUUUAGUGAGUAGGAAGGUACAAUGGUAUGCGUAGAAGUGUUUGGCGUAAGCCUGCAUGGAGCUGCCAUUGGUACAGAUCUUGGUGGUAGUAGCAAAUAAUCGAAUGAGACCUUGGAGGACUGAAGUGGAGAAGGGUUUCGUGUGAACAGUGGUUGAUCACGAGUUAGUCGGUCCUAAGUUCAAGGCGAAAGCCGAAAAUUUUCAAGUAAAACAAAAAUGCCUAACUAUAUAAACAAAGCGAAUUAUAAUACACUUGAAUAAUUUUGAACGAAAGGGAAUACGGUUCCAAUUCCGUAACCUGUUGAGUAUCCGUUUGUUAUUAAAUAUGGGCCUCGUGCUCAUCCUGGCAACAGGAACGACCAUAAAGAAGCCGUCGAGAGAUAUCGGAAGAGUUUUCUUUUCUGUUUUAUAGCCGUACUACCAUGGAAGUCUUUCGCAGAGAGAUAUGGUAGAUGGGCUAGAAGAGCAUGACAUAUACUGUUGUGUCGAUAUUUUCUCCUCGGACCUUGAAAAUUUAUGGUGGGGACACGCAAACUUCUCAACAGGCCGUACCAAUAUCCGCAGCUGGUCUCCAAGGUGAAGAGUCUCUAGUCGAUAGAAUAAUGUAGGUAAGGGAAGUCGGCAAAUUAGAUCCGUAACUUCGGGAUAAGGAUUGGCUCUGAAGAUUGAGAUAGUCGGGCUUGAUUGGGAAACAAUAACAUGGUUUAUGUGCUCGUUCUGGGUAAAUAGAGUUUCUAGCAUUUAUGUUAGUUACUUGUUCCCCGGAUAGUUUAGUUACGUAGCCAAUUGUGGAACUUUCUUGCUAAAAUUUUUAAGAAUACUAUUUGGGUUAAACCAAUUAGUUCUUAUUAAUUAUAACGAUUAUCAAUUAACAAUCAAUUCAGAACUGGCACGGACUUGGGGAAUCCGACUGUCUAAUUAAAACAAAGCAUUGUGAUGGCCCUAGCGGGUGUUGACACAAUGUGAUUUCUGCCCAGUGCUCUGAAUGUCAAAGUGAAGAAAUUCAAGUAAGCGCGGGUCAACGGCGGGAGUAACUAUGACUCUCUUAAGGUAGCCAAAUGCCUCGUCAUCUAAUUAGUGACGCGCAUGAAUGGAUUAACGAGAUUCCUACUGUCCCUAUCUACUAUCUAGCGAA
rnacentral:rRNA from 1 species